rnacentral:lncRNA from 1 species
GAGGCCCAGAGACCCAGAGCAAAAAGGGAGUGAGACGCUGCCCAGUACAGACCGAUGCACAGACACGGACACCAGGGAGCAGGGCCACGCCCACACGCAGGUGCCCAGAAACCCUCAGUCUUCAUGGCAAGGCCUCGGGCUGUUCUGAGCCAAGCCAGCACUGCAGCACACAGGCAGGCCAGCCUGGGCCCAACGCGUGUGGGGGCCGUCCCUGCACCACCACCACUCAAUGGAACACAGCAGCUGGCAGCAGCAGGCACAGUCCAGAGAGCAGAGCAUGGUGAGUCCUCCGUGAGAAGCCGACAGUUCCUGCAGGUCCACCAAGGCCCGGUCACAUCAGGAGGCUUCAGAGGCAGCAGAUGUGUCGUAUCUUUGGCCCACGAGACGUCUUUGAUGUCACCAAUUACUAAUGGGGAAACUGAGGCCAGAGAGCAAGGAGGCUUGUCCAAGGCACCCAGAUUGGGAGAGCAGGGUGGGGCCCCUGCGUCCUGGUCGCCAGGCCUGCUGCCUCCCCACCACCUCUCCCUUACAUUGCUUCUGGGCCUCACCCAGCACAGAAACUGGAAUUUGGGAGGUCCGUGCCCCACGCAUGACUCAAGGCUUGGUGAGAAGCAGACGUGUGUGGACUCACGACCUGGCCCCUCACACCAGGUCCAGCGUGUUUCUUCUCUGGGAAGAAACAUGCUUCAGGUGCACCACGGGGGGGUCUUGCCAAGGUGA